rnacentral:rRNA from 1 species
AUUGAACGCUGGCGGCAUGCUUUACACAUGCAAGUCGAACGGUAACAGGCCUUCGGGUGCUGACGAGUGGCGAACGGGUGAGUAAUGCAUCGGAACGUACCCAGAGGUGGGGGAUAACGCAGCGAAAGCUGUGCUAAUACCGCAUGUGAUCUGAGGUUGAAAGCGGGGGACCGAGCAGCAAUGUUUGGCCUCGCGCCUUUGGAGCGGCCGAUGUCGGAUUAGCUAGUUGGUGGGGUAAAGGCCUACCAAGGCGACGAUCCGUAGCUGGUCUGAGAGGACGACCAGCCACACUGGGACUGAGACACGGCCCAGACUCCUACGGGAGGCAGCAGUGGGGAAUUUUGGACAAUGGGCGCAAGCCUGAUCCAGCAAUGCCGCGUGCGGGAAGAAGGCCUUCGGGUUGUAAACCGCUUUUGGCGGGAACGAAACGGUGUCCGCUAAUACCGGGCGCUAAUGACGGUACCUGCAGAAUAAGCACCGGCUAACUACGUG